AUGCUUGCUCUGGCAGCACAUAUACUAAAACUGAAAAAGUACAAAGAUUAGCAUGGCCUCUGAACAAAGAUGGCAUGCCAGUGUGUGAAGGGCUCCGUAUUUGA
ensembl:snRNA Gm24875 predicted gene, 24875